CUACGCGGCGACAGUAAUAACAUAACAUAGCCACAUGGCUACCUUAUGGACAUGAAAACUACGUUUGUAAUUCGAUAACUGUCAACGAGCUUGAGUUCCGUCGUCAAAUGCAAAAGUACCGAUGAGAAUUCUUUGGUAUACCGAGUCUGCUAUUCUGAGUGGCGAGUGGAUGCGUUCGCAGCACUUUGAUGGCUUCGAUAAUCAAACUAGGCACUGUACUAUCCAGUCUACGUUGCCACGAAGUUGCUUUACUUUCAUGGCUAUUGCAGCACACCUGACCCUCAUCCACGAGUAGCUCGGUUCCUUGAUAGGUCGACUAAGCCAAACAGCUCGCGGAAAUCACCUGCUUCUUCAUUCCACAACUUCAAAGCCAGCAAGAUGCACACCUAAGGCCACUGGCGAUGCAAAAUAUUUGUCACGUGAACUCUACGUGCCAAUAGGAUGACAGAUGAUAAUUGCAUAGGUGUUCCUUCAUCUCAUGACCAACCACCUCACGAGCUUCCGUAUAUAUAUGCUACCUACUCAGUUACAUAUGUAUUCUAGUAAUCCAUACGUAUAAUAGUCAUGGAAUAUGUGAGUUGGCAUAAGGUUCCAGUAUGCAGCAUAUAUGAAUCACGGCAUAUGUAGUUUCACUGGCGCCAGCAGUAGCGUCGAACCAUAUACGUAGGCGCAUCGUUACUUUCAGAUAAGCGCAUACCGAUGGAUUUUCCCGUACCAGGCCUCACCCCCUGCUCCUCCACCCUCGUGAAGUAUUGUCAGACGAUUUAACCGACUGCUAAUAAUACUUACGGAAAUGCUCAAAAUAAAUUGUUUCACGGAGCGUUGACCUCGAUGACUUCGCGCGAGGUCAGCCUCUGCUUUCGGUCUGCGCAAGCAGUGAGGCCAGCAAGUAAGUCAGACUGUUCUGAGACUUGUAUUGUGAGAUAGGUGAAGGUGGUGGACGGAUUGCAUAUACAUAUAUAUAUAUAUUGCUUGGAAGAAACUUAUGUCUGAUUGGAUUGUAUACCAGUUUUUGGCUGAGCGCUGCAUUCCGGAUUGUACUGCUGACUUGUAUACUGCACUGGCGCCACGUACAUUGGCUGUCACGUGGUUUGCACUUGCACGCAAGAGGAAUUGCAUAGUACGGGAGGCAGAUGGAGACGGGACAAAUCGUAUUGCAAUGUAACCAGGUCGUUUCACUUGGCUAUGAGUAUAUUAACAUUCCAGGAUGGGAUACAUUUCAUUUUUAGUAAAAAAAAAAAGUGACAGUCCUUUAUCGAACUUGGAUUUAGCAUUGGUAUUGAAGGUAUAAAAAAAUGUUUGCUCCAUUUUCAAAAUACAUCAAUACCAGUAUAAAUUGCACAUAAGAAUUACAUUGCAAUACGUAGCACGCUUGCCAUUCGCCAAAGCAUAAAAUAUCGAAAUGAUAAUCGACCUUGGCCCUUAUCAACUGGAUAAUACGGAAGCAUAAAACUGAAGCAGUGAAAAAAUUCCUAAAAUCACGUCGGACGGCGAAGUGGAAUUUGGAAAAAAACAAUCAAACUCUAAUAAAGCAAUCUAUUCCACGCUGUUAUGCGCGUAGGAAUUUGAAUUUCUCACGAGUGCACUACGCCAGCGACUAAGUGCUUAUGUUGGUACCCGUGCCGUCAUGUUUUACGCGUUGCUACAGUUCAUGAAUAAAGUCACGAGUCACGUUACAUAUGGCACGCAUGAAAUCUCAACGAGCUGACUCACCCACCGAAACGUAUCCCGGCCUACCGUUCCAUUCGUCUUAGCAUACAUUCAUAUUGUUCCAGAUUUUACAGACAUUUUUUAAGAAUUUUCUAUGGCAAUUUUUCUAUUCACCGCUUAUAACCAAUUUCUUUGAACCAGUGCAAAACAAGACCCACUGAACGCAAUUUGACAGAUGAUUAUAAAGAUCAAUAAAAAUAAAUAGUCAAAUAUUAA